AUCUAGGGGGAGUUCAAGAAGGGGACAAAAGAUCAAGAAAGUUUCAGGAAACACCCCCUACCCUAAUCUCCUCUUGGGGGUCCCAGGCCAUGUCCUUUAAUGCUUUCAAAAGCCUUAAUGCUUCCUCUCCUGGUUUUUCCCAUAUUGCUUUUCCAUUCUCUGCCCUUUCCCUUUUCCCCAGGCCUCCUUCAGAGUGGGGAGGAGGAUUCCUUCAAUCACAAAAGGCUUGGCUAGAGAGGCCACCAUUGGACUGAUCCUCGUGUUUUCGGUACUCCAAAUGUGCCCUCUUUUUAACACUCCCCUCUCCAUAGUCCUCUCUACAAAAGCACUUUCCUUUCCUCUGCUUCUUAUCGCCUUUUCCCUCACCACUCAGUCCUAACUUCCGCCUCUCCAAACCGCUAAUCCCUGAGUUCCUAAUUUAGCCCUCCGGUCAGCCCUGAAGCUUCUCGGGCUUUCAAGGUUCUAGUUCCCUCUCCCGGACUUCCCCUGUCAUUUGUCUCGAAGCCCCGCCCUCCCUCGCUCUCGUCCGGCUCCACCUCCAGCCACAGAGCUCAUCCUCGAUCCCUUCCGCUCACCCGGACCCCCAGGCUCCGGGAGCCCUCCAAGAAGUGGCCGAAGAGAGGGUUCUUGUAGAAAACGAGAAUUAUAAACCGCCUUUUCUGUAACCUUAGCCACUAAACAUAGCCAAAGUCAGAGGUUACAAAGCGUCGGUUAACGCUUCAAAUAGGAAACGGUGAGAGAACGGAAGACUGUUGACCGAGGCUGAAAACCCAAAGAUGCACCCUUCACCCUUCUUGUUCGAGGUUGUCCCGAAUGGACUAAAUCAAUGAAAAUCACAGCUUUUAUUGAGGAAGCCCUCUCUGCAUAACUGCUCUCUCCUCUCAACCUUUUGGACUUAGAGGUGGUCACAAUAGAGCUAGGAUGAAUAAGAAUCCCAGUCAAAGAGGGAGAGAGAUGGCUUCCAAACAGGAGGCAGGACACCAUGUGUGCCACACAGCAGUAAGUACAUCAGUCCUGCUAAGGGCAGCCACUUAUGAUAUCUGAGAAUGGGAUUACCCAACUCUAAGUGGCCAUUUGAGAAAUCUGUGUCUCAUCAGGUGACCCAGCUGCCUCCCACUCCUUGUGUCUCAAUCUAAACACUGAGUGACCACUGACAUGCUCCAA